rnacentral:rRNA from 1 species
UACGUAGGGCGCAAGCGUUGUCCGGAAUUAUUGGGCGUAAAGAGCUCGUAGGCGGUUUGUCGCGUCUGCUGUGAAAACCCGAGGCUCAACCUCGGGCCUGCAGUGGGUACGGGCAGGCUAGAGUGCGGUAGGGGAGACUGGAAUUCCUGGUGUAGCGGUGAAAUGCGCAGAUAUCAGGAGGAACACCGAUGGCGAAGGCAGCCCCCUGGGUCAAGAUUGACGCUCAUGCACGAAAGCGUGGGGAGCAAACAGG